rnacentral:rRNA from 1 species
ACUCCUACGGGAGGCAGCAGUGGGGAAUAUUGGACAAUGGGCGCAAGCCUGAUCCAGCCAUGCCGCGUGAGUGAUGAAGGCCCUAGGGUUGUAAAGCUCUUUCACCGGUGAAGAUAAUGACGGUCACCGGAGAAGAAGCCCCGGCUAACUUCGUGCCAGCAGCCGCGGUAAUACGAAGGGGGCUAGCGUUGUUCGGAUUUACUGGGCGUAAAGCGCACAUAGGCGGACUAUUAAGUCAGGGGUGAAAUCCCGGGGCUCAACCCCGGAACUGCCUUUGAUACUGGUAGUCUUGAGUUCGAGAGAGGUGAGUGGAAUUCCGAGUGUAGAGGUGAAAUUCGUAGAUAUUCGGAGGAACACCAGUGGCGAAGGCGGCUCACUGGCUCGAUACUGACGCUGAGGUGCGAAAGCGUGGGGAGCAAACAGGAUUAGAAACCCCUGUAGUCCCAUGAU